GGACUCGUGGCGUAGUGGUUAUCGCGUUUGUCUUACAAAAGAGUCGUCUUGCGUGCACAAAAGGUCCCCAGUUCGAUCCUGGGUGAGUUCA